GCUUAGAGUUUGAUCCUGGCUCAGGAUGAACGCUGGCGGCGUGCUUAACACAUGCAAGUCGAACGGUCUCUUCGGAGAUAGUGGCGGACGGGUGAGUAACGCGUGAGAAUCUGCCUUUAGGUUCGGGACAACAGUUGGAAACGACUGCUAAUACCGAAUGUGUCGCAAGAUGAAAGAUUUAUUGCCUAAAGAUGAGCUCGCGUCUGAUUAGCUAGUUGGUGGGGUAAAAGCGUACCAAGGCGACGAUCAGUAGCUGGUCUGAGAGGAUGAUCAGCCACACUGGGACUGAGACACGGCCCAGACUCCUACGGGAGGCAGCAGUGGGGAAUUUUCCGCAAUGGGCGAAAGCCUGACGGAGCAACGCCGCGUGAGGGAGGAAGGCUUUUGGGUUGUAAACCUCUUUUCUCAAGGAAGAUAAUGACGGUACUUGAGGAAUCAGCAUCGGCUAACUCCGUGCCAGCAGCCGCGGUAAUACGGAGGAUGCAAGCGUUAUCCGGAAUAAUUGGGCGUAAAGCGUUCGUAGGUGGUUUUGCAAGUCUGCUGUUAAAGCGUGUAGCUUAACUACAUAAUGGCGGUGGAAACUGCAAAACUAGAGUGCGUUCGGGGCAGAGGGAAUUCCUGGUGUAGCGGUGAAAUG
rnacentral:rRNA from 1 species